rnacentral:rRNA from 1 species
UGCAAGUCGAGCGAACAGACGAGGAGCUUGCUCCUCUGACGUUAGCGGCGGACGGGUGAGUAACACGUGGAUAACCUACCUAUAAGACUGGGAUAACUUCGGGAAACCGGAGCUAAUACCGGAUAACAUGUUGAACCGCAUGGUUCAACAGUGAAAGACGGUCUUGCUGUCACUUAUAGAUGGAUCCGCGCCGCAUUAGCUAGUUGGUAAGGUAACGGCUUACCAAGGCAACGAUGCGUAGCCGACCUGAGAGGGUGAUCGGCCACACUGGAACUGAGACACGGUCCAGACUCCUACGGGAGGCAGCAGUAGGGAAUCUUCCGCAAUGGGCGAAAGCCUGACGGAGCAACGCCGCGUGAGUGAAGAAGGUCUUCGGAUCGUAAAACUCUGUUAUUAGGGAAGAACAAAUGUGUAAGUAACUAUGCACGUCUUGACGGUACCUAAUCAGAAAGCCACGGCUAACUACGUGCCAGCAGCCGC